UACGUAGGGACCAAGCGUUGUUCGGAUUUACUGGGCGUAAAGGGCGCGUAGGCGGCGCGGUAAGUCACUUGUGAAAUCUCUGAGCUUAACUCAGAACGGCCAAGUGAUACUGCAGUGCUAGAGUGUGGAAGGGGCAAUCGGAAUUCUUGGUGUAGCGGUGAAAUGCGUAGAUAUCAAGAGGAACACCUGAGGUGAAGACGGGUUGCUGGGCCAACACUGACGCUGAGGCGCGAAAGCCAGGGGAGCAAAACGGG
rnacentral:rRNA from 1 species